GAUGAAGAACGCAGCGAAAUGCGAUAAGUAGUGUGAAUUGCAGAAUUCAGUGAAUCAUCGAAUCUUUGAACGCACAUUGCGCCCGCCAGUAUUCUGGCGGGCAUGCCUGUUCGAGCGUCAUUUCAACCAUCAAGCCCCCGGGCUUGUGUUGGGGACCUGCGGCUGCCCGCAGGCCCUGAAAACCAGUGGCGGGCUCGCUGUCACACCGAGCGUAGUAGCAUCAUCUCGCUCAGGGCGUGCUGCGGGUUCCGGCCGUUAAAAAGCCUCUAAUACCCAAGGUUGACCUCGGAUCAGGUAGGAAGACCCGCUGAACUUAAGCAUAUCAAUAAGCGGAGGA
rnacentral:misc_RNA from 1 species